GACGAACGCUGGCGGCGUGCUUAACACAUGCAAGUGGAGCGACGAACCAGGGCUUGCCCUGGGGCAAAGCCGCGAACGGGUGAGUAACACGUGGGUAACCCACCUCGAUGACCGGGACAACCCGAGGAAACUCGGGCUAAUACCGGAUGUGUUCCCUCUUCUCAAGGAGUGGGAGGAAAGAUAGCUUCGGCCCUCGCAUCGAGACGGGCCCGCGGCCCAUUAGCUUGUUGGUGGGGUAACGGCCUACCAAGGCGACGAUGGGUAGCUGGUCUGAGAGGACGAUCAGCCACACUGGGACUGAGACACGGCCCAGACUCCUACGGGAGGCAGCAGUGGGGAAUCUUGCACAAUGCGCGAAAGCGUGAUGCAGCAACGCCGCGUGGGGGAAGAAGGCCUUCGGGUUGUAAACCCCUUUCAGUUGGGACGAAGCUUCGUCGGUGAAUAGCCGGCUGGAGUGACGGUACCUUCAGAAGAAGCCCCGGCUAACUACGUGCCAGCCGCCGCAGUAAGAC
rnacentral:rRNA from 1 species